UUUACUACCUUUGUCCUUGAGCCACCUGACAUGAUUUCCUAUCUUCCAUUUCACCCGAAAUGAUUUUCGCAACAAGUCUAAUGUGGAGCUCUUCAAUAUUUCCGAGGAUUGCCCUGUUUUCGAAGAUAUUUUUGAAUUUUGUCAAUCAUUGGUAGGUGGAUCGAUUGGAGCCGCUGUCACGCUCAAUCGAAACGAUGCCGAUAUAGCAAUCAACGGGCACCACGCAAAAAAGGCUGCAGCAUCGGGAUUUUGCUCUGUGAAUGAUAUUGUCCUGGUAUACUUGAACUCCUGAAAAUCCACAAGGCAUAUAUUUAGCUUAUACCUGUCUCUUGUUUAAUUUGCUUAAGCUUUCAUUUUAUUUAUUGUUGUUAUUACAUGUUCUCGGUUGCAACAUGGUUGUCUUUGCAAGUAAUCCAAUGUAUAGAGGCGAACUUCAAUUAACUUUGAUAAAUCUAUAAUGAAGAAAUUCGAAAAAACGGAAUGUUAAUAUUUUAUGAUGUUACAUUUUAAUAUUCAUUUAAUAUUGGUUGUCUGCAAUGAUUAAUUUGGAUGUCUCAUUCAUUCAAUAUUGAUGGCUGCAAUCUUGGGCUGCCUCAUUCAUUCAACUUUGGUGGCUAUAAUUUUUUAAAUUUGACAGCAGCAUUGGAUGUCAUCAAUGACAUCAAUGUUGGCUGAUUUUUACCUAUAAAUAAAAGAGUUUUCAACUCAUUUUAGGAGAUAAGAACACAAGGUAGAAGUUAAGGUAAAGUUCAUAAAACAAGAUUAAGAUAGAGUUCACAAAAAAUUGUCAAAUAAGAGAAUUUAUUAGUUGAAGGGAGGUAUUCUUAUUGUGGAACUUUGAACUUAACUCUUGUCCAGAGUUGUUGAGUUGUUGUGAGAAGAUUGUUCUAUCCUGAAAAGGGAUAAGUCAAGAGGAUAACUGCAGGACCGGUGAAACAUUUGCUGCAGUAGGCUUAAAUCUCCUUAAAGAGAGCGAGAUAUCCACACCUCAGCCGAAGAAGUAGAAGAUAGUCUUUUAUAUUUUCUUCACUUGUAAUUUUUCAGUUGUAAGUUUAUUGUAAUUUCACCAUCAUUUUAUUAGGUGAAAUAAAUCUGUUAUUCUGUCUUUAUAAUCAAAAGAAAUAAUAAAAAGACAAAUUGACAGCUUAUAACAUUUUUAAGUAUUCCACUGGUUUAGUAUGUAAUGCAUAGGACAAGAACUUAGUUAUCUUGAUCAUGUUAGAAUUAUUUAUUUUAUGUGGACUUAAUAUUAAAUUUUUAUUACAUUAAAGUAAAUCGGGCUGAUGUUAUUAGUUGGUGGAUAAGGCACGGGCCGUGUAUUCAUACGGAUUCCAUAUGGGUCUGUAUCCAUUUCAUGUUAUUGGUGUGGGCUGGCAAUAAUGUAGGCCUGUAGUAGACCUAUGAGCCCAUAAUGGGGGGUGCACUAGGUUAAGACUUUUAAGCCUAUAAAUAUACGGCUAGGUCUCCUCUCCUUUGAUUCUAACUCCUGGCAGCAAGGGAAUACAUCUUGUGUUGAAGUCAGGAGAGGGACCUAGCCUUAACCUAUUCUCCCACUUAAACAACGUUAACUUUUCAAAGAAAAGUUUUGGAAAACUUAUUUUUAUAAAAAAGACUCUCGGGCUGAAUAGAGAGUGACCAUAAAUAUUUAGUGGUGGAGUUCUAUCUCCAACAUAGUUCAGUCAAGCAAAACAUCACUGUUGAACUGCAACAGUACUUGCAUCAAUCAACGACACAAGACCAGUCCACAAUUAUAAACAUUGAAGUUUUGUAGACAUAAACCAAAUGAUGUGGUAGUGUAGCAAGAAAUAGCCAACAUGGACUCCAAAUCGAGGCUAUUUCAUUGUUAGUCCUUCAGACAAUUUUUCAUAUCAAUAUGUACGCUUAAAAUCAACAUGCGUAGCAUAGAAAAAUCAUCACCACAAUUUUCUAUUACAACAUGUGUGAGCACUAAAACAACAUGUGCUCCACCAGAAAAUCUUGAUUUUCAAGGUUCAACAUGUGCAACAUAUUACAUGUUGCAACAACCAGAAAAUCCAUAAGGUAGAAUGAUGUACCAUAUAUGUCUCCAAAAGAAAGAUCCAAUAAAACAACAAUAUGAUCUUAUCAAUAUGAGACAUAGCCAACACGUAAGGCAAAAGCCUUGAUUUAAUAAAAUAAUUUUAAAGUGUGCACAAUAAUAAUCAACAACAUAAAGAGUGAGAUGAGCGUACUCCCACUGAUCUUAAGAUAGAUGCAAUGAUCAAUCUUGUAAUUUUUCAGUUGUAAGUUUAUUGUAAUUUUACCAUCAUUUUAUUAGAUGAAAUAAAUCUGUUUAUUCUGUCUCUAUAAUAAAAAAUAAUAAUAAAAAGACAAAUUGACAACUUACAACAUUUUAAAGUAUUCCACUGAUUUAGUAUGUGAUGCAUAGGACAAGAACUUAGUUAUCUUGAUCACUCAUAUAGUAUGUAUUGCAUAUGUUCCGACUGAAUAUCGUUGCAUACAAUUGUAAUUAAGUUGUAGCUUUCCAACAUCUUUUUCCUUUAAUUGAAUCUUUUGUCUGAUUAGAGCUUGUUUUGAUACAAUUGUAGUUAAGCUAUAGCUUUGCAGCAUCUUUUCCUUUUACUGACUCGUCUGAUUAGAGCUUGUUCUGAGUUGCUCGUCCUGUGAAAUAUUUUCUGCAGCAUGUAUUUAUUGAGGUUGAUACAAGUAGUUAAGAAGGGUAAAAUUGUUCUUUCACUAGUUAGUUAGUAUAUUAAGUCAAGAUAAUUAAUAACUGACUUAUAAUCAGUUUAUAGUAUAUAUAAACACUGCAGUAUACAGUUUUGUAUUAGAUUUUCUGAUCAAAUAUUCAUUUAAAUGAAAUAUUCUCUUUCUCUCUGUAUUCUUCCUCCUUAUCUUUUAUAAUUCUCUCAAGACUUAACAUGGUAUCAGAGCCAUAGAGCACUUCUUGUAGCUCUGCAAACUCUGAUUCUAUUUUUUUCUUUUCCCUGCAUAACUUCCACGAUCAAGAAAUCUAUUUUCUUAUUUCUCUAAUAGUUUAUUGCAAUCCAAAGAAUGGGUGAUAAUGGUGUCUCGGGUUCAGGGACAACAACUGAUGGAACAUAUUUCACUUUUGAUGAUAAUCUUGGAAUGAGAAUCAUGCUCGAACCCACUCAUCCUCUAUACUUAGCUCCAGGAGACACAAGUGGUAUUUCUCUGAUUUCCUUUCAAUUGCUUGGUACUGAUAACUACUCAUUAUGGAGUAUAUCUAUGAGAAUUGCUCUACUUGGUAGGAAUAAAUGGGGAAUGGUAGAUGGUUCUUGGAGAAAGGAUCGAUUUCCAAAUAAAUUUGGGGGGCAAUGGGAACGUUGUAAUGCCAUUGUCCUUUCUUGGCUAAUGAACUCUGUUUCUCAAAGUCUGGUGAGUGGGAUUGCUUAUGCUACUAAUGCGUUUGAUGUAUGGACAGACUUAAAGGAGAGGCUUGAUAAAAUUAAUGGCUCUAGGGCAUUUAAUAUACGUAGAGAAAUUUCUACUACUAGUAAAGGAACUUCUUCAAUCUCUUCUUACUACUCUAAAUUGAAAGAAUUGUGGAAUGAAUCUGAAACCAUUAUUCCAUUACCUAGUUGCAACUGUGAGAAAUCAAAGAAAUUUCUGGUUCAUCUUUAGAGGCAAAAAUUAUAUCAGUUUCUAAUGGGGUUAAAUGACUCUUAUCUUCAGGCAAGAAGUCAGAUCUUGAUCACGACUCCAUUUUCUAGUGUGAAUCACGCUUACUCUAUGUUGAUGAGUGAUGAAAGCCAAAAGAAAAUGUCAGCCUCUACCAGUGUUCUUGGGGCUUCUCCAAUCUCUUAUGGAGGACAUUCUGAAUCUAUUGUUAUGUACAGUUCUAAACCAGGCAUUCCUAAAAAAUUCAAAAAGAUGAAUAGCUUGAUCUGUGAUUACUGCAAGCUCAAGAAUCAUACAAAGAAAAACUAUUACAAGCUUGUUUGUUAUCCCUCUAACAAAUUUAAAAUGAAAGGGGUAGGCUCCGGAUCAAAGGCAUAUAAUGUCAUAACUAAUAGUCAGGUUUCAGAACACCAAGGAUCAGGUCAAUCAGUGCUACAAGCUCCAGUUGAAUCCCAAAUUAUUCUACCAAUGUUGUGUAGACCUCUGGUUUAAGUGGACAUGUUACUCAACCUUGUAUCUUUACUAAGGACCAAUAUGAUCAAAUAAUUCAGAUGUUGAAUGGUGCACAAGUUACUUCCAUGGCUAAUUCAGUAGGUAAUACAAGUAUUGGCAUUGCUUUUACAACUGUUAGUAAGAUCAAUAAUUGGAUCAUUGACAUGGGAGCAACUAAUCAUAUAGUUGUUGAUCCUCCUUUACUACAUUCCUCUUUAAAAAUGGAUCCCUCUAAACUAAGGGAGGUUUUUUACCGACUGAAGACUCAGCUUUUGUAACAUAUAUUAGAUCCAGUAUUCUUACUAAAGUUAAAAGAUUAACAAUGGUCUGUAUAUUCCAAAAUUUAAGUUUAGUCUACUAUCCGUGUCUGAGAUUACUAAAGCACUACAAUGUUUAGUUGCAUUUUAUCCUGACUUCUGUGUGUUUUAGGAUCUCUUCAAUGGGAAGGUGAAAGAGAUUGGUAGAUUAAAGGAUGACUUGUACUUAUUACCUGCUAUUUCUACAAGGUCACUACAGGCUACAGAUUCUUUCUAUUCAUUUUUGUCUGAACAUACUAUGUGUCUAAUAAAAAAUACUGAUAUCGAUUUGUGGCAUAGAAUAUUAGGACAUCCAUCAUCUAGAGUUUUGAAUAGACUAUUCUCAAGUGCUUUAGAUUAUUGUACUUCUAUAAUCAAGAAUUGUAUGAUUUGUCCAUGUUCAAAACAAGUAAGGAUGCUAUUUGCUCACAGUGAAACAAAAAGUACUGGUUGCUUUAAUCUUUUGCAUCUUGAUAACAGGGGUUCAUAUAAAGAAGCAACUUAUGAUGGUAAUAAGUAUUUUUUAACUGUGGUUGAUGACUAUACUAGGAUGACAUGGUUUUUUCUGUUAAAACUUAAAUCUGAUGCUUGUGAAGUGAUAAAAUAAUUUCUUAUCUUUGUGCAUACAAAGUUUAACAAAAAGGUGAAAUGUGUUAGGACUGAUAAUGGGACUGAGUUUGUCAAUUCAGAUUGUAAUGUACUGUUUAAUUUGCUUGGAAUAUUCCAUCAAACUUCAUGUUCUUAUACUCCUCAGCAAAAUAGAGUUGCUGAAAGAAAGCAUAAGCAUAUUUUAGAAGUUUGUAGAGCUAUCAAGUUCCAAGGACAUAUUCCCCUCAGAUUUUGGGGGAUUGCAUAUUGUCUUGUAAUAGUCCAUAAGUUUUUUCGAGUCGUUAAAGCCUUUCUGAGCUUGUCAAUAAAACCUUAGCACUUACAAAUUUGGCUAAGUGUUGAAACUUUCUUCAUUCCAUAAGCUUGUGAACUUUGAUGAAUUAUUUCGUGACCUUCUCGACCUCUAAUUUUUUAUUUUCAAGUUGCGUUACGAUGGGGCAAGGUCAUAGUACAUCCGGGUGAGUUUCAAAAUUUUUCGAAAUGCCUGAGACAAUGUUUGGAUUUCAUAACCAGUAGCUCGAGGCGAUAGGCCUGCAUCGCCCGAUGGAUCGCGGGCUAUUAGCUAGGUGUCGCCCGCUGGAUCGUGGGCGAUAAGCUAGGUGAUGCCCACUGGAUUGCGGGAUAUAGACCAGGCGACGCCUGGAAAAUCCAGUGCUUCUAAUUACUUUUUCAAUCUUCUCCGUGUCUUUACUUUUUAAUUGGAUAGGUGGAGAUAACAUUCGUCUGUUCUCUCCAGAAACAGAGAAACCAUCGCACAACACUCCAAAAAAACUUAAGAUCUACCAAAAUUCAUCCGUUAAAUUUCAAAAAUAAUUUAAGAAUUAUAAUCCUCAAGUCGAGAUCUUCAAGGAGCAUAUAUUAGUUUUGCGAAUAGAGUUUCGAAAUCAAGAAUUCAUCCGGAUUCACAAAUUUGAGGUAUGCAAGUGUUGAUUCUUGGGUUCCUUUCACCCAAGAAGCUCAAGAAUCCUUUUUCUUAAACUCAAAGAUUUUGUUUAUGAGUUUUUAUGAUUCAUGUGGUUUAAAGUUGAAGCUCUUGAUUUUGUUGAAAUUAAAGUUAUGUGUUGAUGAUAAAGGCUCAAGUUUAGACCUUAGUAUGUGUUGAUCUUAUUGUGUUCAUGAUAAAGCCUUUUCAAGAACAUGUUGAAUUAUGUAAUUAUGUUAAUUAGUAUGAUGUUGUUAUAUACUAAUUGACGUUGGAAAUAAUCACAUUUUCCAUGUAUGUUGAAUCAUGAUCAUAUCAUGUUAAAAUCUUUGUGUGAUGAAUUGGUUGAUGGAGUUAUGACAUUUAGAAGUAGCAUUUAUUGAAUAACUAAAGCAUGCUUCCUACAUGUUUGAUAAAAUGCUUAUAUGAAGAAAAUAUUACUAUUGUAGUAUGUUAAGUAUGGAUGUCAUGUCGAGUUCUUGAACCAUAUGAUUGGUGUAUAAUCUAUGACUUGAUUUAAGUGUAUUCAUAAUUAUCACUUUGAUUGGGUUUCUAAUACAUGAUUUAAGUACAUGAUUUAGGUGAGAUAAAUAAUUAUGAGUGUAGUACUAUAUGAAUUCAUGUUAGAGCCUUAGGUGGUGAUAUUUAUGUGUUAAUUAACAAUAUGUGCAAUUACUAUGCCUUUCAAGUAAGUGGUAAAUUAUUCAUGUGGAUUAAAUAAGAGAAAUUAUAUCAUGUAAACAAGAAUACUAAUUCAUGACAUUCAAGUGUUUGAUAGAAUGGUUAUAUGAAGGAAAUAGAGUUGUUUUAGUAUGAGAAGGAGAAAUCCUCAGUAUGUAUAAGUUCAUGCAUCCUAAGUGUUUGGUAAAAUGCCUAAGAGAAUAAAUAUUAUGAAUUAUAGCUUAAUUGUGACCCAAGUGGUAAAUAUAUGUUUUCAUUUAUGACUAAGAAUAACUUUCAUGGUAUUAUGUGAAUUAUGAAUGCUUCAUGAGAUGAGAUUGAUGAAGGUAUGACAUGUUUAUAUUCCUUUUCAUUCAUGAAUAAGAUUAUGAUAUUUUAUUUUCAUUUUGAAAAAUUUGAAACUCAUAUGCUUCGCGAAGUAUCCCCAACGGUUGUAGUAUAAAUUAUUGAUGUUGGUUAUGUAUUCAAGAAGUAAUAUGUCUUGUUAGUUUCCUUCUAUUGAGUCCUGGGGGUACUUGUACCCGAAAAAUAUAGCUGGGUGCCUAGAGCCGAGUCAGUUUCAAGAUAAUCUCAGUCGUGCUAUGAUUAAUAGAAUUCAGUCAAUGACUGAACAGUAAGAAAACUCAGUAAUCUCAGUAUUCAGUCUAAUCAAGCUUAGUACUCAGUUCAGAUCUCAGUAGUAUUCAGUAUAAAGUCAAGACUUCAGUAUAGCUUAGUAAGAUACAUAAUAUCAGUAGUAUUCCAUCAGAUAUGGAGCCAAGUAAAAUUAGUCAUAUCAGUUAAGUAAGAUAAUCUUUGACAAGAUGCAGCUCAGUCUAAGUUCAGCUAAGAGUCAGUUUAGAAUCUUUCAGUUGGGAGUAGGACACAGCACCGAGUGAGCUCGAGGAUGGAAACUCACCUACUAGUAGAGGGUGUGAAUCUUAGUAGCAAUCCUUGUGCUCCAGAACCAUGUCGCUAGCGUAGGUUGAGACAUCAUACAUGAUAGUUGAGGGUAGAUGAGGUGGCUUGACCUGUUAGAUGAGGGCUCCACCGUUCUCGCUUGAUUACCUGAUAGAAGAGGGUAAUGUAAAUUUAUCUUUACCAGUGGAGCGGUACUGACAUCCUUCCAAUUGGGGUUAUAGAUUGGACCCCAGAUUUAGCAAUAUUCGCUUGUUUGGUGCAUGCCGUUUAGAUGACUACUUCCCACAGUCUCAGUUUUAGAAUCAGUAUAAGACUUCAAGAAAGAGCCCAAUUCAGUCUAUAGAAUUCAAGGCUGUUAGAUACAGGACAUCAAGUAUAAUUAAUACAAAUUUAAAGAUCCACUACUAGAUAGGCCGAUCUCAGAUUUAGUUAAUCAAAUAUUAUUAUCCAUGAAUUCAGAGACUACCUGCUAGAUAGGGUUGAUCUCAGAUUAAAAUAAAUCAUUCUUAAUACUAGUAGAUCUGGAGACAACCUGUUAGAUAGAGUUGGUGUCAGUUUCAGUAGCUUUAGAUACUCAGAAUCACAGUAUAUUCAGAAAGUUUAGUUUGACAGUAUAUUCGGUAUCAGUUAUCAGAGUUAGUCCUAGUAUGCUCAGUGAUAGUAUGCGCAGUAUGUUUAGUAGUUACAUAUUUUCUAUGUAUGCUAAUCCAACUCUUGCAUAUCAUUCAAUUAAGUUAUGUUCAUGCAUAAGCCCUUGCAUUUAGCCUUACCUCAUUUGCAUACUCAGUACAUUUAAAGUACUGACGCAUUUUGCUUUAUGGUGCUAUCAUUUAUAUCAUAGGUUUCGAAGCCCGAGAUCUAGAGCGUUAGUAGCCUUUCAGGUGCCCGCAUCUAGAUUCAGCAGUGAAUCCUCAUCACUCGAGGAUGAUUUGAUUGUCUUAUUAUUUUAGUUCAGUUUUAAGUAGCUAGAGUUGGUUGGAGACAUGUUUCAUCAACUCCGCAGUUCAGACAGUUAGAGGUUUUUCAGACGGUUGUAUAAGUAUUUAGUUUGCAAUUUUUUUUUUUGUAUUUUUGAUAUUUUGAACCUUAUGGAAAGUCUUCGCUUGUCUUUCGCAUGUAUUUUAUUAUAUUAUGCAGUGAACAGGUACAGAUAUCAGAAGAGGGUUAGCUUGUGAUCCUUUGGGAUUACAAGCACCAUGUGACUUUCCAGUUCCAGAAAAUCGGGGCGUUACAUGGCUAUAAUAUACCUUAUUAAUAAACUUCCUUCUUCUGUGUUACCUAACAACAAAUCACCUCAUGAAAUGCUAUAUGGUACUAAACCAUCUGUUGCACACCUUAGAAUACUAGUUGUCUGUGCUUUGCAAAGUUAGUAUCUGAAAAUGACAAGCUAAAGCCUAGAGCAAUAACUGCUAUACACAUGGGGUACUCCCCUACUCAAAAGGGUUAUAUUUUGUAUGAUUUUACUAAUAAAGUGUUUUUUGUGAACAAAGAUGUUGAGUUCAAGGAGUCAGUUUUUCCAUUUCAACCUUGGAGCAAAAACAACAAGCUCUAUUUAUUGAUACAUUAACAAAUCAGAUGUUUAUUCACUAAGAUAGUAAUAGACAAUUGAGAUCAGUUCAGAGUCCGAUAGUCGUGUCUAAUGAUUCACUAGUUACUACAAAUCCUAUACCUGAACCUAUAUCUUCAGCUCAAGCUCAACCUUCAUCAAUUGGUCAACAAAGAAGAUCUUUUAGGACCAAAACUGCCCCUAUUUGGUUAAAAGACUUUGUCACAUUGCAAAAGACUAAUUCCUCAACUCCAUAUGGGAUUGCCAACUUUAUCAGUUAUAGUCAUCUUUCAUCUACUUAUCAAGCCUUCCUUGCUGCUAGUUCUCAUGAAGUUGAACUAUCCUCUUAUCAAGAGGCAGUGUUAGAUCCAAGAUGGAUUAAUGUCAUGAAGGCAGAGAUUACAGCCUUAGAAGAGAACAACACAUGGGACAUAGUGUCAUUACCUAAAGGAAAGAGACCAAUUGGAUGUAAGUGGGUGUUUAAGAUUAAGUAUAAGGAUACGGGUGAGGUUGAGAGGUUUAAGGGAAGGUUGGUGGCAAAGGGCUAUAGUCAACAAGAAGGCAUUGACUAUCAGGAAACAUUUUCUCCUGUAGUCAAAAUGGUUAUGAUCUGAUCUGUUCUAGCUAUUGCAUUAAUUAAACAUUGGCACAUCUAUCAAAUGGAUGUGUAUAAUGCUUUUUUGCAAAGAGAUCUACAUGAUGAGAUAUAUAUGGAGUUACCACAAGGCUUUAAGAGAGCCAGAGGGAGACUAGACCAAUGUGCAGGCUUCUUAAAUCCUUGAAUGGAUUAAAGCAAGCUCCGAGACAAUGGAACACAAAGUUGUUGGAAGCAAUUUUGCAUCUUGGAUUUAUUCAAAGUCAUCAUGAUCAUUCUUUGUUCUUGAAGAAAACUGGAAAUGAUUUGGUAUUAAUAUUAGUAUAUGUUGAUGACAUGCUUGUCACAGGUAGUGAUUUGCAACUUAUUAAGGAAACAAAGGCAUCAUUACAACAAGUGUUCAACAUAAAAGACCUGGGGGGGCUAAGAUAUUUUUUAGGCAUUGAAUUUGCCAGAAGGCAAGGAUAUUGAUGCAUCAAAGGAAGUACACCUUAGAGUUGAUUUCUGAACUUGGAUUAGGUGUUGCAAAGCCAAUAGCUACACCAAUGGAGACAAAUGCUAGACUGACUACAAUAGAAGUUGAUAAACUGGUGAAUGAAUCAAGAAGUGAUGAAACCGAUCCUUCAGUUGAUGCAACAGGUUAUCAGAAGAUUAUUGAAAAACUACUUUACCUAACUAUAACUAGGCCAGAUAUAGCCUAUAGUGUACAAACACUUGGCCAAUUUCUACAUCAACCAAAACAAUCACACCUUGAGGCAGGACAUGGUGUACUUCUAUCAAGCACAAGUCAAGGACAACUAUCAGCCUACUGUGAUGUUGAUUGGGCAGCAUGUCCAAAUACUAGAAAAUCUCUAACCGGCUACCUUGUUAAGCUAGGAGAUUCAUUGAUUUCUUGGAAAUCCAAGAAACAAAACAUAGUUUCCAGAAGUUCAGCAGAAUAUAGAAGCCUAGCUUCUACAACUGCUGAACUGUCUUGGAUACUAAGAUUGUUCAAGGAAAUUGGGAUUCAAGUCAAUCGACCAGUACAAAUUCAUAUUGACAGUAAGGCAGCAAUGAAAAUAGCUGGAAAUCUAAUUUUCCAUUAAAGGACAAAAUAUAUUGAAAUAAAUUGUCAUUUUGUAAGGGAAAAGAUUCAGAAAGGGAUGAUCACGACAGAAUAUAUCUCCACAAUAUAUCAAUAGGCAGAUAUUCUAACAAAGGCACUGAACAAAAUACAACACGAGUACUUAAGCUCCAAGCUAAGGAUGCUGAAUGUUCAAGGAAAUUGGGAUUCAAGUUAAUCGAUCAAUACAAAUUCAUAUAUACCAUAACGAACGUUGCUAGGUGUUGGUGCUAUGAGACAACAGUUGCAGUUGGGAUAGAACCUGAAAAACAAUUACCUAAUAUCAAUACUAUAAAGAGGCUGACAUGGAUCAAAGGGCAAUACCAUGGAAAGGUGUGGAUUAUGAGGAUGAUUCUGAGGAGGAAGAUUAGAAACAAGACAAUACAUUCAUAUAUAGUCUCAAGUUGCAUCAAGUACCAAGCUUAUAUUUGGAUUAAAGUUUACUGGUUUGUCUGCUUUUUGAGUUAUCUCUUGAAUGUUGACUGAAUGUUAACUGGUUUGCAUGCUUUUAUGAAAUGUGGGAAUUCAAUCAAGUGCACCAUAAGCCAUCACACACACAAAGCUUUACUAAAAUUUCCAGUAUCUCCUAGUGAAAACAGAGAUGAAUUCCUAUUCCACCUUCAGUGGUUCUGUAAGCUUUAGUCCCGCUUCAGUAUAAAUGGUAUUGAUGGUACUAUGUGAUGUUCUGAUUUUCCAUUGCGCAUGAAAGUAUCUUGUAUUAGAGUUAUCACAUUCAAUCCAUUUAGCCCUUGAUUUUUGCCUCAACACUUGCUCCUCAACACUACUCCACUUCUCGAUCUCCCAGAUAAUUUUUCUUUCCUCUGCAUAUAGCUCAGCAUUCAAAACUUGUCCCUGCAUCUGUAUUUGUAUAAUAUCAAGUCUUUCUCUUGCCAAGCAUAAUUUUUGAGUGUACGAGGCAAAAUAACUAUUGAUGUCCUUCAGCUGUUCUUUGAGUUGUUUAAGCUUGUUCCAUACAUUAGCACCAGCCUCUGUGUAUGUGUAUCCCUCUGCAAUAUCCCAGCAAAUUCAGGGUGCUCCAUGAUGUGAACAAAAAACCUGAAAGGCCUGGGACGAAUUGUUCUGCAGUGACAACACUUGAUACUAAUAGGGCUAUGGUUAGAUAUAGAUGGAUUUGCAUAUUCAGCCUCUACAUGCCCCCACUGUUGUAGCCAGUUGUAAUCUCCAAAUGCCUAGUCAAUCUUGCUAUAGACUCUUCUAUCAUCAGCUUGUUUACUACACCAAGUGAAAUGCCACCCCUUACUUCUAAUAAUUGUGAGUUGCAUCAUAUCUAUUAACCCUUGAAAACCGUGAACUCCACUUUGGGUCACAACAGACCCUAUUCUAUCUUCAGAGCUGAGCACACUAUUGAAAUAUCCACACAAAAUACAGGGUUUGUUCAAUGAUAAAUUCACUUGAGUUAAUUCAGUCCAUAGAAUUUCUUUAUAGCUUGUCUCGUUUCUAGCAUAAACUACUGUAACAUAUAUAGCAAUUCUGUUACCAGGAUCCUCCACUAAACGAUGUAUGAAUUGUUCCUUCACAUCUACAAUAGUAAAGUAUGUGCUCAUUAAGCAAUGCUAUAUGGAUAGUUAAUUUAAGGUCACGUGUAAUUUUGAUUAUUCUAACACUUUGAGCCAUUAGUCAAGAGUGACACGAGUGUGCACUUUUGGUCACGACAAGAGCAUAAGUAUUAAAGGAAAACAUAUACUUGUUAUUUUCAAAAGUUCGAUAUCAUAUUUAAACUUUUUACGUUUCUUAUUUAAACAAGACUCAAAUCAAUUUGUUUCCUUGAAUAGAGGAUGAUGAAUAGUGAUAAUUGAUCAAUGGCUUUAAGUGAUGAAUAGACCCUUAAAAUUAUUCGCAUAUUCUAUUUAGACAAUUCAAUUAGAACUUGCACUUAUUAGAUAUUUUAUUUUAUAAAAUAUGUACCUAUUAAACAUCUCGAGCUAAUGUGGCAUAGCGGGUGAAAUACACUAGUU